GACACCAGAGUCGCUUGUGAUCAACUCUGCACACAGUAGAAGCCUUGCUGUUGCGCUGUGCGGCCGUCCCGUGGCAGGCCUUUGUAAGACGUCAACUGGAGAUGGCGAUUUUCAUAUUAAAGUCCACACAGACGAGCCACGACAUGUUAGCAAGAAUAUCUGGAAGCUAUGGGACCGGUCAGCUGAUUCUAAAGGAAGAACUCCACAUGCG